UACGUAGGGUCCGAGCGUUGUCCGGAAUUAUUGGGCGUAAAGGGCUCGUAGGCGGUCUGUUGCGUCGGGUGUGAAAACUUACAGCUUAACUGUGAGCGUGCUUUCGAUACGGGCAGACUUGAGGCAUUCAGGGGAGAACGGAAUUCCGGGUGUAGCGGUGGAAUGCGUAGAGAUCCGGAAGAACACCGGUGGCGAAGGCGGUCUGCUGGGCAGUAGCUGACACUGAGGCGCGACAGCGUGGGGAGCAAACAGG
rnacentral:rRNA from 1 species